GCACAAUGGGCGCAAGCCUGAUGCAGCAACGCCGCGUGCGGGACGAAGGCCUUCGGGUCGUAAACCGCUUUUCUGGGGGAAGAGCAAGGACGGUACCUCAGGAAUAAGUCUCGGCUAACUACGUGCCAGCAGCCGCGGUAAAACGUAGGAGGCGAGCGUUAUCCGGAUUUACUGGGCGUAAAGCGCACGCAGGCGGCUCUGUUAGUCGGACGUGACAGCUCUCGGCUUAACCGGGAGAGGCCGUUCGAUACUGCGGGGCUUGAGGUAGGGAGAGGAAUGCGGAAUUCCCGGUGUAGUGGUGGGAUGCGUAGAUAUCAGGGGGAACACCGGUGGUGUAGACGGCUUGCUAGACCAGAUCUGACGCUGAGGCACGAAAGCGUGGGUAGCAAAC
rnacentral:rRNA from 1 species